rnacentral:rRNA from 1 species
UCGGGAAUUUUGGGCAAUGGGCGAAAGCCUGACCCAGCAACGCCGCGUGAGGGAUGAAGUAUUUCGGUAUGUAAACCUCGAAAGAAUGGGAAGAAUAAAUGACGGUACCAGUUAUAAGCUCCGGCUAACUACGUGCCAGCAGCCGCGGUAAUACGUAGGGAGCAAGCGUUGUUCGGAUUUACUGGGCGUAAAGGGCGCGUAGGCGGCGCGGUAAGUCACUUGUGAAAUCUCUGAGCUUAACUCAGAACGGCCAAGUGAUACUGCUGUGCUAGAGUGCGGAAGAGGCAACCGGAAUUCUUGGUGUAGCGGUGAAAUGCGUAGAUAUCAAGAGGAACACCUGAGGCGAAGGCGGGUUGCUGGGCCGACACUGACGCUGAUGCGCGAAAGCCAGGGGAGCAAACG